UACGUAGGGGGCUAGCGUUGUCCGGAAUCAUUGGGCGUAAAGCGCGUGUAGGCGGCCCGGUAAGUCCGCUGUGAAAGUCGGGGGCUCAACCCUCGAAUGCCGGUGGAUACUGUCGGGCUAGAGUACGGAAGAGGCGAGUGGAAUUCCUGGUGUAGCGGUGAAAUGCGCAGAUAUCAGGAGGAAUACCGGUGGCGAAAGCGACUCUCUGGACGGCAACUGACGCUGAGGCACGAAAGCGUGGGGAGCAAACAGG
rnacentral:rRNA from 1 species